rnacentral:lncRNA from 1 species
GUCAGAAAAUGAUGUGCUAUUCAAGUAAGUUUGUUUUACUUUUUUCUUAAAAGGAUAUUUUAACAUGCCUUAUUUAUUAUUGUUAUCAAAACAAAUAAGGAGUCAAUACAGAUGAAAACGUCAUUUUCCACAGGUAUCACCUUGCCUAACUAAUCUUUAGUAUGGGGUGAUUUUGAUACUAUCUUUGGAGUUUUGCACUGGAUAUUUAAAAAUAUAUAUAUUGGCACAAUAUAUUGAAAAAUUAAAUAGUAUUUGGUUUAAUUUUUAGUAUUUGAAACAUUUUUUAAUUAGUGUUUAAAUCAGAUUAACAAUUCUUUGUAUUUUUAAUUACUUUUUUAAAAGGAACAUCUG